rnacentral:misc_RNA from 1 species
GGGAAGAGUACUCUUGGUUUGUCAUAUGGAUUGGCCCUGAGUGAGGCUUUGAUAGCACCUGCAAUGCCCAGCACUACUGCAAGAGCUGGUGGAGUAUUUUUGCCUAUUAUUAAGUCUCUCUCACUUUCAGCUGGAAGUAAGCCUGGUGAUCCCUCCUCCAGAAAGCUAGGCUCUUACUUGAUCCAAUCUCAAUUUCAGUGUGCAGGUAAUUCUAGUGCUCUUUUCCUAACGGCUGCAGCUCAAAAUCUACUCUGCCUCAAACUAGCUGAGGAACUUGGGGUAGUAAUUGCAAACCCAUGGGUGUCUUGGUUCAAGGCUGCUAGUUUGCCUGCAUUUAUUUCUCUUUUGGCUACUCCUUUCAUCUUGUACAAGCUUUAUCCUCCUGAAACCAAAGAUACACCAGAAGCCCCCGCUAUGGCAGCUAAAAAACUGCAACUUAUGGGUCCUGUUACAAAAAAUGAAUGGGUGAUGAUUGGCACAAUGCUUCUUGCAGUGUCUCUGUGGGUUUUCGGUGAUGCUCUUGGUAUUGCGAGUGUUGUUGCUGCAAUGCUCGGCUUAUCAAUCCUCUUGCUGUUGGGAGUGCUUGACUGGGAUGACUGUUUAAGUGAAAAAUCAGCAUGGGAUACUUUGGCUUGGUUUGCAGUCCUAGUUGGCAUGGCUAGCCAGUUGACAAACCUUGGCAUUGUUGGUUGGAUGUCUAGUUGUGUAGCAAAAUCCCUACAGGCUUUAUCGUUGAGCUGGCCAGCUGCAUUUGGUGUUCUUCAAGCAUCAUACUUCUGUAUCCACUACUUAUUUGCAAGUCAAACAGGCCAUGUG